GACGUAGGAGGCGAGCGUUGUCCGGAUUCAUUGGGCGUAAAGAGCACGCAGGCGGUUUGGCAAGUCGGACGUGAAAAUCCGGGGCUCAACCCCGGACCUGCAUCCGAAACUGCCCGACUAGAGGUAGGUAGGGGAGAUCGGAAUUCCUGGUGUAGCGGUGAAAUGCGCAGAUAUCAGGAAGAACACCCGUGGCGAAGGCGGUUCUCUGGGACGGUACUGACGCUGAGACGCGAAAGCGUGGGGAGCGAACAGG
rnacentral:rRNA from 1 species